CCUACGGGUGGCUGCAGUGGGGAAUAUUGGACAAUGGGCGAAAGCCUGAUCCAGCCAUGCCGCGUGUGUGAAGAAGGCCUUCGGGUUGUAAAGCACUUUCAGUGGGGAAGAAAGCCUUGGGGCUAAUACCCUCGAGGAAGGACAUCACCCACAGAAGAAGCACCGGCUAACUCCGUGCCAGCAGCCGCGGUAAUACGGAGGGUGCGAGCGUUAAUCGGAAUUACUGGGCGUAAAGCGCGCGUAGGCGGUCUGAUAAGCCGGUUGGGAAAGCCCCGGGCUCAACCUGGGAACGGCAUCCGGAACUGUCAGGCUAGAGUGCAGGAGAGGAAGGUAGAAUUCCCGGUGUAGCGGUGAAAUGCGUAGAGAUCGGGAGGAAUACCAGUGGCGAAGGCGGCCUUCUGGACUGACACUGACGCUGAGGUGCGAAAGCGUGGGUAGCAAACAGGAUUAGAUACCCUAGUAGU
rnacentral:rRNA from 1 species